GACGAACGCUGGCGGCGUGCUUAACACAUGCAAGUCGAACGGAAAGGCCCUGCUUUUGUGGGGUGCUCGAGUGGCGAACGGGUGAGUAACACGUGAGUAACCUGCCCUUGACUUUGGGAUAACUUCAGGAAACUGGGGCUCAUACCGGAUAGGAGCUCCUGCUGCAUGGUGGGGGUUGGAAAGUUUCGGCGGUUGGGGAUGGACUCGCGGCUUAUCAGCUUGUUGGUGGGGUAGUGGCUUACCAAGGCUUUGACGGGUAGCCGGCCUGAGAGGGUGACCGGCCACAUUGGGACUGAGAUACGGCCCAGACUCAUACGGGAGGCAGCAGGGGGGAAUAUUGCAGAAUGGGCGGAAGCCUGAUGCAGCAACGCCGCGUGCGGGAUGACGGCCUUCGGGUUGUAAACCGCUUUCGCCUGUGACGAAGCGUGAGUGACGGUAAUGGGUAAAGAAGCACCGGCUAACUACGUG
rnacentral:rRNA from 1 species